ACCUUCCCGCUCGCUGCCUCUCCCCCUCCACCCGAUCUCUGUCUCUCCCCCUCUCCCCCCACCUUCCCACUCGCUGCCUCUCCCCCUCUCCCCCCUUUCGCAACCCUCCCACUCAAUUUCUGAAGGCUAGGGUUUCCGAUUAAGAACCGCGAUACCUCUCUGAACCCCGAUUGGAGCUCUCCGGUAGAGCUACUUCAGAGCUACACCAAACCUGAGGCUUCUAUCUGGGCAAGCCCAGGUAUUUGAGUAAACUUCUUCCGAAUUCCGCACCAAAUCAACCAGAAUCAUUGCAAGAUGUUCUCAGUGGAGAAAUGCUCAGUGCUGGUAUUAACAUGGUGGGUUUUAGUUGGAUAACUUCUCCUGCAGCAACAGAACUUGAAAUGAUUGUCCUGGAUUGGCUUGCUAAACUUCUUAAGCUUCCUGAUGAUUUCCUUUCAACAGGUAUAGUUUGCUAUGUCUAUAUUUAUUAGCAUUUGAUUCUUGUAGUAACUUGGAAGGUACAACUUUUUCCCAGUUCAAAAAUAAACAUUCUUUUUUCUCAAGACAAAAGAGACCUUUGCAUUUGCCUUUUUCAUUUUGAUGGUUGAUGUCAUUCAAGC